UCAGAUUGCAGGCUGAAACUCGCCUGCAUGAAGUCGGAAUUGCUAGUAAUCGCAGAUCAGCAUGCUGCGGUGAAUACGUUCCCGGGCCUUGUACACACCGCCCGUCACACCAUGGGAGUCGGUAACACCCGAAGCCUGUAGUCUAACCGCAAGGAGGACGCAGUCGAAGGUGGGAUUGAUGACUGGGGUGAAGUCGUAACAAGGUAGC
rnacentral:rRNA from 1 species